CCUAGUAACUGCGAGUGAAGCGGGAAAAGCUCAAAUUUAAAAUCUGGUGGUCCUUGUGGCUGUCCGAGUUGUAAUCUAGAGAAGUGUUAUCCGCGUUGGACCGUGUACAAGUCCUCUGGAAUGGGGCAUCAUAGAGGGUGAGAAUCCCGUCUUUGACACGGACUGCCAGGGCUUUGUGAUGCACUCUCAAAGAGUCGAGUUGUUUGGGAAUGCAGCUCAAAAUGGGUGGUAAAUUCCAUCUAAAGCUAAAUAUUGGCGAGAGACCGAUAGCGAACAAGUACCGUGAGGGAAAGAUGAAAAGAACUUUGGAAAGAGAGUUAAACAGUAUGUGAAAUUGUUGAAAGGGAAACGCUUGAAGUCAGUCGCGUUGGCUAGGGAUCAACCUUGCUUUUUUUGCUGGGUGUAUUUUCUGGUUGAUGGGUCAGCAUCAAUUUUAACUGUUGGAUAAAGGUUAGGGGAAUGUGGCAUCUUUGGAUGUGUUAUAGCCCUUGAUUGCAUACAACGGUUGGGAUUGAGGAACUCAGCACGCCGCAAGGCUGGGUAUUUAUACCACAUACGUGCUUAGGAUGUUGGCAUAAUGGCUUUAAUCGACCCGUCUUGAAACACGGACCAAGGAGUCUAACAUGCCUGCGAGUAUUUGGGUGGAAAACCCAGAUGCGUAAUGAAAGUGAUAGUUGAGAUCCCUGUCGUGGGGAGCAUCGAUGCCCGGACUUGAAGUUUACUGAUGGUUCUGCGGUAGAGCAUGUAUGUUGGGACCCGAAAGAUGGUGAACUAUGCCUGAAUAGGGUGAAGCCAGAGGAAACUCUGGUGGAGGCUCGUAGCGAUUCUGACGUGCAAAUCGAUCGUCGAAUUUGGGUAUAGG
rnacentral:rRNA from 1 species